CCUACGGGUGGCAGCAGUGAGGAAUAUUGGUCAAUUGGCGGGAGCCUGAACCAGCCAAGCCGCGUGAGGGAAGCAGGUACAGCGUAUCGUAAACCUCUUUUGUCAGGGAACAAAGGCGGGGACUAGUCCCCGGCUGAGGGAACCUGAAGAAAAAGCAUCGGCUACCUCCGUUCCAGCAGCCGCGGUAAAACGGAGGAUGCGAGCGUUAUCCGGAUUUUUUGGGUUUAAAGGGUGCGCAGGCGGCCGGUUAAGUCAGCGGUAAAAGCCCGGGGCUAAACCCCGGCGAGCCGUUGAAACUGGGGGGCUGGAGUUGGAGAGAAGUACGCGGAAUGCGCGGUGUAGCGGUGAAAUGCUUAGAUAUCGCGCAGAACCCCGGUUGCGAAGGCAGCGUACCGGCUCCACACUGACGCUGAGGCACGAAAGCGUGGGUAUCGAACAGGAUUAGAUACCCUAGUAGUC
rnacentral:rRNA from 1 species